UACAGAGGAUGCAAGCGUUAUCCGGAAUGAUUGGGCGUAAAGCGUCUGUAGGUGGCUUUUUAAGUCCGCCGUCAAAUCCCCAGGGCUCAACUCUGGACAGGCGGUGGAAACUACCAAGCUUGAGUACGGUAGGGGCAGAGGGAAUUUCCGGUGGAGCGGUGAAAUGCGUAGAGAUCGGAAAGAACACCAACGGCGAAAGCACUCUGCGUGGGCCGACACGUGACACUGAGAGACGAAAGCUAGGGGAGCGAAUGGG
rnacentral:rRNA from 1 species